rnacentral:rRNA from 1 species
AACGGCCAUACCAUGCUGAAUAUACCGGUUCUCGUUAGAUCCCCGAAGUCAAGCAUCAUUGGGCGCGGUCAGUACUUGCUGGGAACACCGCGUG